AGUAGUGGAGGGCUUUCUGACGAUGAGGAAAUGGACAUUGAUUGAAAUAAAUUGGACAUAGUAGAAACGCGGGGGUUAGGAAGGACAGGUUGAAAUCUGCGCCGACACGGAAGCGAGCACUUGAAGAGGAAGAUGGCUCCACAGAAACCAGGGCCAAGCCUAUCCAGAAGAAGCAGCCUUUGGAGGAGGAGCUACAGCAGUGAACAUGAAAGGCUUCAUGUAGGAGCUGAAGAGCUGCUGUGUUCUCUCUAUUGUUCAUUCAGUCCAAGAGGAAAUCAUGUUGCUGCUUUUCAUUUGGAUGAUGAUAGUCUCCUUUCAGACUGGAUCCUCUGAGGAUUUACUGACACCAUCUAAAGAUGUAGUGAUGAGUUUGGAAGGAGACACUGUGACUCUCUCCUGCAACUAUUCAGGCUCUGUAUAUUCACUUUUCUGGUACCAUCAGAAGUCUGGUUCACAUCCACAGCUUGUUAUGGCAGAUUAUUCAAAGCAAACAGAAAAGCUGAAGUUUAUACAUGACAAAGAAAAACAGGAGUUUCAUCUGGAGCUCUCCUCUGCUGCAGUGUCUGACUCUGCUGUGUACUACUGUGCUCUGCAGCCCACAGUGACAGGAAACAGCAAAACUCUGUACAAAAACCUUUGGAGCAAAGACAACAGAAUACUCCACAACAUCCACUAGAGGGAGCCACACACUGUUAAACCUCUGAUUCUUGUGUCAUUGGACUGAUGACAAAGACAACAGAGAAAUGAAGCAGUAAAGAUCAGAGACAGAGACAGAGCUGCUGUGGAAGCACAAAACUGUUUGAUUGGCUCAGCGAUUAAACUGGCCCCGCCCACUGAAGUUGAGCUCAUCCAAUGACAUUAUUUGUUGGUCAUUGUGCUGCAGUGGAAGAACAUUGUUCAUGUGUUGUCUGUCUGGCUUUAAUAACUCCAAAGACAUGUUGCUGCACCUCUUUUUGCUUCUAUCUCACAUUAUAGGACUCACAUUAUAGGUGUGUAAGAUCUCACCUG